CCUGUUGUCAGGAAUCGAAACAUGUGUAGCUUAUUCUCAACACAUUCCUGAAAUCAACAGCAACUGCAGAAAGCCUGCCUUUUCUCUGCUCACCAGUUCUCCACAGGGUCACAACCAUUGUCCCAAAAGCUCCAUUGUGGGGGUUUGAAAUCCAUCUGUCAUUCAUGAGGAUGUUUGACACGCUCAGAAACCAGUCUGUCAUCUGCCACCAGCUGGGCCCAGUGGGUCUCGGUGCUGCCUGCCAUCCAGGAAUCUGAGGUGUCCAUUCCCAUUGCCAACCCGGCUCUCUGUUCGGAGAUAAAAACACAGCCCGAAUCAGAAAAAGGAGUCAAUUCAUACCAUCGGGUGGUGGUCACUUCUGGGGUGUGGACAGACAGAGCCUCCUUCUGCCCUCACCCCCACCAGCCUUCUCCCCCACAGGUGCACUCUGUUCAGACAGAGCCACUCUGUGAGCCAAGGACAAUAUGUGCGCCUACGUUGACCCCAUUUCUGGUUGUCACUUGACAACUUGAGCCAACUAUUACUAGAUGACCCAACGGUUAUGACGUUGCCACCCAAAGUACCUACCUUCCUGGAGGCAUGCCCUCAGCCUCCCCACCAGUCCAGGCUCCCAUGUCAUUGUGAUUCAGCCUCCCCACCCCGCCAGUUCAAGUGAAUCAUAUG